rnacentral:rRNA from 1 species
UACGAAGGGGGCUAGCGUUGUUCGGAAUUACUGGGCGUAAAGCGCGCGCAGGCGGUUUCUCAAGUCAGUGGUGAAAGCCCGGAGCUCAACUCCGGAACUGCCAUUGAAACUGUGAGACUUGAGGACGAGAGAGGUGAGUGGAAUUCCCAGUGUAGAGGUGAAAUUCGUAGAUAUUGGGAAGAACACCGGUGGCGAAGGCGGCUCACUGGCUCGUUUCUGACGCUCAGGCGCGACAGCGUGGGAUCGAAACAGG